UACGUAGGGUGCAAGCGUUGUCCGGAAUUAUUGGGCGUAAAGGGCUCGUAGGUGGUCUGUCACGUCGGCUGUGAAAUCCCGAGGCUCAACCUCGGGCCUGCAGUCGAUACGGGCAGACUAGAGUUCGGUAGGGGAGACUGGAAUUCCUGGUGUAGCGGUGAAAUGCGUAGAUAUCGAGAGGAACACCUGCGGCGAAGGCGGGUAGCUGGGCCGACACUGACGCUGAGGCGCGAAAGCCAGGGGAGCGAACGGG
rnacentral:rRNA from 1 species